rnacentral:rRNA from 1 species
CCGGCACGGGUGGAGUAACGCGUAUGCAACUUGCCUAUCAGAGGGGGAUAACCCGGCGAAAGUCGGACUAAUACCGCAUGAAGCAGGGAUCCCGCAUGGGAAUAUUUGCUAAAGAUUCAUCGCUGAUAGAUAGGCAUGCGUUCCAUUAGGCAGUUGGCGGGGUAACGGCCCACCAAACCGACGAUGGAUAGGGGUUCUGAGAGGAAGGUCCCCCACAUUGGUACUGAGACACGGACCAA